GACGAACGCUGGCGGCGUGCUUAACACAUGCAAGUCGAACGCUGAAACCAGAUGCUUGCAUUUGGUGGAUGAGUGGCGAACGGGUGAGUAACACGUGGGUGAUCUGCCCUACACUUUGGGAUAAGCCUGGGAAACUGGGUCUAAUACCGAAUAUUCACAUCAUCGUAGGGGUGGUGUGGAAAGCUUUAUGCGGUGUGGGAUGAGCCUGCGGCCUAUCAGCUUGUUGGUGGGGUAAUGGCCUACCAAGGCGUCGACGGGUAGCCGGCCUGAGAGGGUGUACGGCCACAUUGGGACUGAGACACGGCCCAGACUCCUACGGGAGGCAGCAGUGGGGAAUAUUGCACAAUGGGCGCAAGCCUGAUGCAGCGACGCCGCGUGGGGGAUGACGGCCUUCGGGUUGUAAACUCCUUUCGCUAGGGACGAAGCCUUUUUGGUGACGGUACCUGGAGAAGAGGCACCGGCUAACUACGUGCCAGCCGCCGCCGUAACAC
rnacentral:rRNA from 1 species